rnacentral:lncRNA from 1 species
GAAUAAAGUAUUAAAGUUCAAAACAAAACCACAACAGUGCUGGGCUGAUCUAAAAAUAAAACAUGGGAUACUUAAAGGGUUUGAGAAGCCCGCAAAAACAAAAAUAGAAAAUGAAGCCUAAAUGAAUGCAGAAAUAGAAUCGUCAUUUCCCAGUCAAAUCAAACAGUCUGGCCUCCAUUAUUUUCCAACUUUUCAUUUCAUAAACGCUAGGCUUUUCAGAUGAUAGCAAUUUCAAAGAAAUCUUAUGCUUUAGCUAUCUUUUUCCGUUUCAUUUCCUCUUCAUCAACUUCCUUCAAUCAGAAUUUUGUGGCCAUCUCCCUCUUAGAUCCGGUGUUCUUCUCUCGUCUCUCCCACCAGGUAUCUUUCUUCCCCUUUUCUUAAUGCCUCUUUCGUUAGGUAUGUGCUUCAACGUUCUCUGUUCUUUGGAUGAAUCGAAAAACAUUUUUUUUGGAAUCGGGUUUUGUUGCUCUGAAUAUCAUCAAUAAUUGCUCCUAGAAUCGAUUUAUCUCUAGCUUUUGUUUUGCAUUUGUUGAUUAUUGUUUUCGAAUCCCCCAUCAUCGUGACUGAGUUUAAGCCCAUGCUUAUGCCUAAUUUGGUUGCCUCUAAACAUGCUAAUGCUUCUGCUACAAAUGGAGAGGAAACGUUGGAGUGAAGAGUAGACUUUGAGACUGUGAUUUCCCCAUUCUGACCUCGGGCUACCAUUCCUGACGCUGAUCUAGAGUUGUUGAUAUCAAAAGCUGCAUCAAACUGUAUAGACUCCCGUAGCUCCACCUCUCUUUGUUCGGAUCUAACGGCCGUAGAGGUAAGUUUUCUUUCUCGCACUCCUUCAAGCUCUAUUAGAUAACUCUGUAUUUUAAAAGCUAGAUCCCUUCCUGAUGUAUACUUCCUCUUGUGGAUCAUUUGAUUUCUCGAGCUCCAGAUAACCCAUAAGGCACAAAAAAAUACUCAGAUCUACUCCUUUGUACCUCUGCUGAAUACCCAGGUGAGCCAUGCCCAUACACUCUGAUCUGCAUGUUCUGUUACCCAUGACAUAUUGAGACUGAUCUAUGCAUCCGUGCUUAUAGGACAUUGCCUAAACACAUGGAAGCUAUCUUCUUCUGCAGAACAGUAUCGUGGACACCUUACAUUAGUGGUCACUCUCUUAUAUCUGAUAUUAACUAGUGAAGGGAUGUAGUUCCAGGAAAUUCGCCAUAUGAGAAUUAGGAUUUUUGUUAGUAAUUGUAAAUUCCAUAAUUUUCUGUAGAAAUCUUUAGUUUCGACCUGUAUUAAAUAGUUAUAAUGAUCCAAGCUAGCUUCUUAUAAUAGUUUGUAGGCACUUCUAACUGUAAAUUCUCCGGAGAGUUCCCCUUUCCACACUUUCAUGUCUUCACAAUCCGUUUUCGCAAGAGGAAUUUGCAGUAUUUUUUGAGAAAUUUCCUUUUGAAAGGUAGUCGAAAUUAACUUUCUUCCACUUCUUGUUUAUGUUAUCAAUAAGAUCAGAAACCACAGCUAACUAACCAUUGUCUCUUUUAUUUUGCCACAUCUCAAGUUCCAUCCCUAGUAUCCAACGAUCAUCCCAUAUAGAUAUUGCGUCUCCUCUCUCGACUCUCCAGAUGAGACCAUCAAGAAGGAGUCCUUUCACUGCCCAAAUACUUCUCUAGGUAAGAGAUGGUAAGUUUCCCAACUGUGAAUUUAGGAAACUGGAUCUUGGGUAAUAUUUAGCUUUAAGUACUCUGGCUAAAAGUGAAUUUGGGUUAUUAAACAAUCGCCAACCCUGCUUGGCUAACAAUGCGAUAUUAAACUUAUUAAAAUUACGAAAACCCAACCCGUCGUUUUCCUUUAAAUAGCAAAGGUUUUUCCAAGAGCACCAAUAGAUUCCCUUUUUUCCUUGAUUCUUUUGCCACCAAUAUCUCGCAACAAUACUCUCCAUUUCUUCACAUAGUGACUUCGGAAGUAGAAAACAAACCAUUGAGUAUGUCGGUAUGGCUUGUAGCACUGCCUUUAUGAAUAUCUCUUUUCCACCUUGCGAUAAAAAACGAGUACUCCAAUUUUCUAUCUGUUGUUCCAAUCUGUCUUUUAAGGCUUGAAAAGAUUGCUUCUUUUUUCGACCUACCAUGUUUGGCAAGCCCAAGUAUCUUUCUGGCUCAUUUGAACUUCGAACUCCCAAUAAAUUGACGAUUAGAUGUCUUUCCUCUUCAAUUAUAUUUUUGCUAAAGAAGACGGUCGAUUUGGAAAAAUUCACACAUUGACCCGAACAUCUUUUAUACCCGCUAAGAAUUUCCUUGAGUACAAAGGCUCCUUUCCUCGAUGCUUCUCCAAAUAAAAUGCAAUCAUCCGUAAAUAGUAAAUGUGUUACCUGUGGACCACUUCUGGUUGCCUUGACUCCCUUUAGAAGACCUUCUCUAGCGUUUAUUCUCAUUAGACUAGAUAGUCCUUCUCCACAUAUUAAGAAGAGAAACGGGCUCAAAGGAUCGCCUUGUCGAAGCCCUCUUGUUGGACGGAAAGUUCUUCCAACACUUACAUUGAGCACUACUUGAUAAGAAACUGUAGACAUGAAAUUCAUGAUAGAGGUGACCCAUUUUUGAUCAAAUCCCAUCCGCAGCAUUGUUUCCUUAAUAAAUCUCCAUUCAACUCUGUCAUAAGCUUUGCUUAUGUCAAGCUUAACCGCCAUGUAUCCCUUUUUCCCCAUUCUUUUUUGUUUAAGUGUGUGCAAUAACUCAUAAGCGAGCAAAAUAUUAUCUGAGAUUAAUUUACCUGGUACGAAGGCACUUUGCGCACUGUCAAUGCAUUUGUCUAUGACACCUCUAAAUCUGUUUGCUAUUGCUUUAGUCAUGAUUUUAUAAAUAACAUUGCAUAAGCUAAUAGGCCUAAAAUGGGUCAUAUUAGAGGGGUUUUUGAUUUUUGGGAUAAGAACAAUAUAAGUUGAGUUAAUUUGACUGACCUCCAUUUCUCCAUUGAUGAGGUGUAGGCAAAAAGCAGCCACCUCAUCUCCUAUAAAGUGCUAACAUUUCUGGUAAAAAAGAGCAGGGAAUCCAUCUUUGCGAGGUGCCUUCGUGGGAUGCAUUUCAAAUAAGGCCUCUCUCACUUCUUCUUUUGUAUAAUUCGCUAUAAGUUUCCUGUUAUCGUCCUCUGAGAUACACCGAUCAAUUCCCGAGAGUAGACGUUCAUAAUUCAUUUGAUUUUCUAAAGAGAACAGAUUUUGAAAAUAGAAUUGUACAAUACCUUUCAUCUCCUGAAUAUCAUUCGUUUCCUGCCCGCUGCUGUUUUGUAGCUUGCUUAUCAAAUUCUUCUUUCUUCUUUGUGUUACUUGACUGUGAAAAAAGGCUGUAUUCCUGUUUCCAAGUUUUAGCCAAUUUAGUCUAGCUCGGUGUUCCCAAUAAGUUUAAUCUUUUUCAAUUUCGAAGUUAAGCUGGAUCUUUGUGUCAAUCAUCUCAGCUAGAUUAGAAUUAUCCCUUUCAGCUUCAAUCAAUGUUGAUAGUUUGGCUGUGAGAAAUUCUUUUCUCCCCUGUUUAUUUCUUUGCACCUGUUUCGCCCAGUUUACAAACCCUUUCUUAAAAGUUUCCAUUUUCUUCAGAAAUUCUCCAGACACCAUCCCCCAUAAAUGUUUAGCUUCAUCGAAAAAUGAGUCUUCCACGAUCCAUGAGGCUUCAAAUUUGAAUUGAUUUGCUUUUUCCCAUUGGUCUUCCUUAUUUGUGUUGACGAAAAUAGGACAAUAAUCAAAAAAAGAGUGUACAAGUGUUCAACUCAUACCGCAGGAAACAUGGAAAUCCAAUUCUUAUUAGCGACACCCCUAUCCAGACGCUCUUGAAUGUUCGUUUCUGGUAAGUUUCCUCUCUCCUAAGUGAACCAUCUACCAGAGUAUCCCACAUUGGAUAGUUGGCAAAAAUCUAAAGCUUCUCGGAACAACUCCAUUCUUCUUUCAUCUCUUGGCAAGCCUCUCUUUUUUUUUUCGAAUUCAUACAUUAUUUCAUUAAAAUCUCCACAGACAAGCCAAGGGGUGUAUUCCUUUUUAUGGAGAUUUUUCAAAACAGUCCAUAAAGCUUCUCUAUCUUGCGCAUAUGGAGUUCUAUAAAAGCCAGUAAAGCGCCAUUUGACAUCUCUUUCAUCAUCAUCCACCACCAUGUCAAUGUGUCUUUUAGAGAAAUUCUAAAGCGUAACAUUGAUAUUAUUUUGCCAUGCUAGACACAAACCUUCUCUAGAGCCCUUCGAAUCAACAUCAAUUCCAUUCCCAAAUCCACAUCUUCGUCUAAUUCUUUCCAUUCGGUUUCUGCAAAGCUUAGUAUCCAUAAAGAAGACAAUUUGGGGAUUAUAAGUCCUCAGCGUAUGCUGAAGCCUUCGAACUAUCCGUAGACUCCCCAAUCCACGGACAUUCUAACUCAGUAUUUUUAUUGCUUCCGGUCGGCUUGCCAUUUGGUAGCCGCCGAUGAUAAAUGAUUAGGAUCCACCAUUCUCCAAUUUGCCAAUAUGUUUCUCAUUUCUUCUCUCCCUGUUAUAUCUUCAUUUUCCCCUCUAGGCCUUUUCGUCCCCUUUUUCCCUACUAGAGCUACAUCUUCUAGAUCCCUGAUCCAUUACAUUAGGGGUUAAAUUCUCCUUUCCUCGUACCGCGUAUAAUGAACCUCCCUCCAAAUUAAAGCCAAGAACUGGAUCAACAGAUUUCCCAUAUUUUAUUUUUCACCCCGGGUGCUUCUGGCCCAUUUUGAGACCUCCAAAUUCUGCAUCAGUUCCUCUGUUAUCGCCAUCUCCUUCCUCCCUUAGCUAGAUAUUGUUUAUUGAUAAUGACUUCCGUGAUUGUGCUCGGAUAGAUAAGUCCUAGCCCAUUUCUGCAAUUUCCAUUCCAAGGUUCAUUUUUGCCUCGCAAAAAAAGUCAUUAUGCUCCAGUCUUCCACAAUAGAAACAGAACAAAGAUAAACGUUCAUAUUUAAAGGUGACAUAUGAACAUUUUCCACCAAAUGAUAUUUUCUUCCUCCUUUUCAAAGGACGCCUUAUGUCGAUUUGAACUCUAAUUCUCAUAAAGUUCUUGUUUUCUUUUCCCAAAUAUGAUACAUCAUGUUCUAUGAAAUUCCCCAAGAAAUUACCUAACUGGGCAGCCAGGAUUUCAGAAAAAAGGCCAAUAGGGACAUCAUGAACCUAAACCCAAAAAGGUAUCAGAACUAGAGGGAGUUGUAGUGGAUCCUCCCCUAAUUCCAAUUUGUAAAGCACCAGCAGAUGGUUAUUAAUGGUCCAAGGCGAACAUUUCAAAACCCUGUUCAUAUCCAUGACAUGAAAGAACUGAAACAAAUACCUUUUUUCUCCCAGAUCACAGAUUCGUACUCCCUUAACCGGAUGCUACAGAUUCGCCAUUGUACUUUUCAUUGCUGGGAAGUGGAUCGUGCUUGCUGUGAGAAAACAUCCUACUAGUUGAGUGGUCUCACCCCUAUUUUCCGUGCUUGGAUCUGUUGGGAUGUGAAUAAUUUCCUCAUCUUCAUCAUUAAUCGACAAUUGGGCUAACUCAUUCUCCAUACUUUGCAGGUAAAAGUUUUUUCAGCUUUUGUGGUUUCACAAUUCCUGUUGCAAGAGAAGGACUUACACAGGCCACAGAUAACAAAGGGGAAAGUAUUAAGGAAAAAACAAAUAAUGAAAAAACUUAAAAACUCUUGCUAGUGGCAGCAGACAAAGGUGUGCUAGGGUAGCAGACUUUUUUUACUUGUGAAUUUGAUAAUGUUUUAUAUUUCAUAUAAUGUUUUUAUAAUUUUUUUAACUUAUAUAACUAAUAUAUAAUAUGUUUUGAAAAUUUUAAAUUUAAUAAUUUUUAUAAUUUUUUAUUUAUUGAAUUUAUAUUUUUUAAAAUGGAUGCCACAUUAUUAAUCGUCAUGUAUAAAGGAAUACCACAUAAUGCAUUCUCAUUGGUUGGGUGUGUCACCUAUCAUUUUUAACACCAUUAACCUCUUUGAACUAAGAUUGUGUUUAGCAAUGCUUAAAAAAAACACUUUUGGCUUAAAAAGUACUUUUGGAAGAAAAUUUAUGUUAAACAAGUAACUUUUGGCCCAAAGGAGUGGCUUUUCAAAAACAUUUUUACUCAAAAGCUAAAUUUUUUAGCUUUUCUUGAGCCAAAAGCACUUCUUGAAACAUUAUUACUUUUUCAUCUCUCUAUUUUUCUUCCCUUAUUUUUCAUUCACUUUAAAUUACAAAUGCUAAUGUAAAUGUUUUAAUGUUUAUAUUUGGUAUAUAAAUAUUAUCCAUUUUUGAAA